rnacentral:rRNA from 1 species
AAACGUCUCAGUUCGGAUUGUAGUCUGCAACUCGACUACAUGAAGCUGGAAUCGCUAGUAAUCGCGAAUCAGAAUGUCGCGGUGAAUACGUUCCCGGGUCUUGUACACACCGCCCGUCACACCAUGGGAGUCAGCAACGCCCGAAGCCGGUGACCCAACCGAAAGGAGGGAGCCGUCGAAGGUGGGGCCGAUAACUGGGGUGAAGUCGUAACAAGGUAUC